rnacentral:rRNA from 1 species
GAUGAACGCUGGCGGCGUGCUUAACACAUGCAAGUCGAACGGAAAGGCCCUUGCUUGCUGGGGUACUCGAGUGGCGAACGGGUGAGUAACACGUGGGUAACCUGCCCUGCACUUCGGGAUAAGCUUAGGAAACUGGGGCUAAUACCGGAUAGGACCACAUGUUGGAUGGUGUGGUGGAGAGAUUUUCGGUGUGGGGGGAGGUAGCGGCCGAUCAGCUUGUUGGUGGGGUAAUGGCGUACCCCGGAGUCGACGGGGAGCCGGCGUCUGAGGGGGGACGCCGACAUUGGGGCUCUGAGACAGGCCAGAGUCCGACAGGGGGCAGCAGUGGGGGAUAUUUGACACUGGGCGCGGGCCUGAUGCAGCGACGCCGCGUGGGGGAUGAGAGCGUUCGGGGUGUAAACACCGCUUGCGAGGGACAAGGCGUUUUUGUGACGGUACCUGGAGAAGAAGCACCGGCUAACUACGUG